CGGUGCCUCCCAGGGGCAAACUUAACCAGAAGCCAGAGGGCAACGAAGCCUGGUGAUGCAAUCCUCCAAGGUCAGCCUCCCGGGCCAAAGAAUGGGGUGCAGACCGGUGGCGAGUGGAUCUGAGCUGCAGACAGAGAAAUCCGAUUGAUGAAACGGAGGUCCUCAGAGAUUAAGUGACAUGCUUGAGAGCACCUUCCAGUUAAUAACUGAAUGCAGUUGAUUUGUUCAACGGUUGCAACAAUUGUAUGACAAAUACUGCAUCCAGAUUCCAAAAAAAGAUGGCUUUCCCAAGAGCGUCUGCUCAACAGUGAUGCCACAGAAUAUUAACAGGUGUUUCUCAGGAAGAAAGAAGGGGAAGGGUCCUCCAGUCAAUUUAAUUUAUGUAACACUGUAUGACCAACUUUCAACAGAUUUCUUUAACGCAGGAUUCUUGGAGAUUUCAUCUGCUGUUGUGCAACUGUGAAUAUCCAGGAGGAUGGCAUCGUGUGCAACUUUUCCUAAACUGACUAGCUCAAAGAAGCUCUUUUUUGAAAGAAUACCUUGAGAGACGAAUUUUAUUCAUUCAACAAAUAUUUAUUAAGCACUGCUGUGUGCUAAUAUUGUGCAGGCAUCAGGGAUUUGGUGGUGUACAGGGUACAUGCUGUCCUUGUUGUCAUGCAACUUACAGUCUAGGAAAGAAGACACCCAAUAAAUUGGUGUUUAGAAAGUUGUUCAGUGUAAUAAAAGGUAAAAUAUAGGCUGCUGUAGAAGAACAUUUGAC